ensembl:snRNA U6 U6 spliceosomal RNA
CAAAGAUUAGCAUGGUCCCUGCACAAGGAUAAUAUGAAAAUUCGUGAAGCAUUCCCUAUUUUU